CGGGGGAACCGUGCCCCAUAGUCUGGGAUACCACUUGGAACAGGUGCUAAUACCGGAUAAGAAAGCAGAUCGCAUGAUCAGCUUUUAAAAGGCGGCGUAAGCUGUCGCUAUGGGAUGGCCCCGCGGUGCAUUAGCUAGUUGGUAAGGUAAAGGCUUACCAAGGCGAUGAUGCAUAGCCGAGUUGAGAGACUGAUCGGCCACAUUGGGACUGAGACACGGCCCAA
rnacentral:rRNA from 1 species